rnacentral:rRNA from 1 species
GUGUCAGCAGCCGCGGUAAGACGAACCGCCCAAACGUUAUUCGGAAUCACUGGGCUUAAAGGGUGCGUAGGCGGCGCUGUUAGUCGGGUGUGAAAUCCCUCGGCUUAACCGAGGAAUUGCGCCCGAUACUGCAGUGCUUGAGGGAGACAGAGGUGAGCGGAACUGAUGGUGGAGCGGUGAAAUGCGUUGAUAUCAUCAGGAACACCGGUGGCGAAAGCGGCUCACUGGGUCUCUUCUGACGCUGAGGCACGAAAGCUAGGGUAGCGAACGGGAUUAGAUACCCCGGUAGUCCUAGCCGUAAACGAUGAGCACUUGAUCGAGGAUCCCCCCAUAGGUUCUUGGUCGUAGCGAAAGUGUUAAGUGCUCCGCCUGGGGAGUAUGGUCGCAAGGCUGAAACUUAAAUGAAUUGACGGGG